rnacentral:rRNA from 1 species
CCUACGGGAGGCAGUAGUGAGGAAUAUUGGUCAAUGGACGAGAGUCUGAACCAGCCAAGUAGCGUGAAGGAUGACUGCCCUAUGGGUUGUAAACUUCUUUUAUAUGGGAAUAAAAUGUUCCACGUGUGGGAUUUUGUAUGUACCAUAUGAAUAAGGAUCGGCUAACUCCGUGCCAGCAGCCGCGGUAAUACGGGGGAUCCGAGCGUUAUCCGGAUUUAUUGGGUUUAAAGGGAGCGUAGGUGGUUUGUUAAGUCAGUUGUGAAAGUUUGCGGCUCAACCGUAAAAUUGCAGUUGAAACUGGCAGUCUUGAGUACAGUAGAGGUGGGCGGAAUUCGUGGUGUAGCGGUGAAAUGCUUAGAUAUAACGAAGAACUCCGAUUGCGAAGGCAGUUCACUGGACUGCAACUGACACUGAGGCUCGAAAGUGUGGGUAUCAAACAGGAUUAGAUACCCGGGUAGUC